UUGGGAAUAUUGCACAAUGGGCGACAGCCUGAUGCAGCGACGCCGCGUGAAGGAAGAAGGCCUUCGGGUUGUAAACUUCUUUUUUGUGGGACGAUUGUGACGGUACCACACGAAUAAGGACCUGCUAACUACGUGCCAGCAGCAGCGGUAAUACGUAGGGUCCGAGCGUUGUCCGGAUUUAUUGGGCGUAAAGAGUAUGUAGGUGGUUUGAUAUGUCGGGUUUUAAAGGUCCAGGCUCAACUUGGAUUUAGGACCCGAAACUAUUAAACUUUGAGGGUAGCAGGGGCAAGCGGAAUUAGCGGUGUAGCAGUGAAAUGCGUUGAUCUCGCUAAGAACACCAAUGGCGAAGGCAGCUUGCUAGGUUACCUCUGACACUGAGAUACGAAAGCGUGGGGAGCGAACGGG
rnacentral:rRNA from 1 species